rnacentral:rRNA from 1 species
GUAGGGUGCGAGCGUUAAUCGGAAUUACUGGGCGUAAAGCGUGCGCAGGCGGUUAUGUAAGACAGAUGUGAAAUCCCCGGGCUCAACCUGGGAACUGCAUUUGUGACUGCAUGGCUAGAGUACGGUAGAGGGGGAUGGAAUUCCGCGUGUAGCAGUGAAAUGCGUAGAUAUGCGGAGGAACACCGAUGGCGAAGGCAAUCCCCUGGACCUGUACUGACGCUCAUGCACGAAAGCGUGGGGAGCAAACAGGAUUAGAUACCCUGGUAGUCCCACGCCCUAAACGAUGUCAACUGGUUGUUGGGAAUUAGUUUUCUCAGUAACGAAGCUAACGCGUGAAGUUGACCGCCUGGGAGUACGGCCGCAAGGUUG